GAUGAACGCUGGCGGCGUGCCUAAUACAUGCAAGUCGAGCGAACAGAUAAGGAGCUUGCUCCUUUGACGUUAGCGGCGGACGGGUGAGUAACACGUGGGUAACCUACCUAUAAGACUGGAAUAACUCCGGGAAACCGGGGCUAAUGCCGGAUAACAUUUAGAACCGCAUGGUUCUAAAGUGAAAGAUGGUUUUGCUAUCACUUAUAGAUGGACCCGCGCCGUAUUAGCUAGUUGGUAAGGUAACGGCUUACCAAGGCAACGAUACGUAGCCGAUCUGAGAGGGUGAUCGGCCACACUGGAACUGAGACACGGUCCAGACUCCUACGGGAGGCAGCAGUAGGGAAUCUUCCGCAAUGGGCGAAAGCCUGACGGAGCAACGCCGCGUGAGUGAUGAAGGUCUUCGGAUCGUAAAACUCUGUUAUUAGGGAAGAACAAAUGUGUAAGUAACUGUGCACGUCUUGACGGUACCUAAUCAGAAAGCCACGGCUAACUACGUG
rnacentral:rRNA from 1 species